rnacentral:rRNA from 5 species
UAAGGUGGUUAUAGCGACGGGGCUCACCUCUUACCAUUCCGAACAGAGAAGUUAAGCCCGUUAGCGCCGAUGGUACUGCAUUGUGGGAGAGUAGGUCGUUGCCUUUU